AUACUUACCUGGCAGGGGAGACACCAUGAUCAAGAAGGUGGUUCACUCAGGGCGAGACUUGGCCAUUGCACUCCGGCCGUGCUGACCGCUGCGAAUUCCCCAAAUGUGGGAAUCUCGACUGCAUAAUUUAUGGUAGUGGGGGACUGCAUUUGUGCUCUUG
ensembl:snRNA U1 U1 spliceosomal RNA